UCCCGACUUGACAUUCUAGAAGCAAAAAGAUGAGAGGAUACAAGAGAAGAUUUAGAGGAGAAGAUAGAAAGAUAAGAGAAGGAAAGAAGAACAAAGAGAAAAAUAGGAACAAGAAAAAAGAGAGAUAAAGGAAAGGAAAGAAGAAAAUAGUAUGAAGAGAAUUAAGAUAAGAUGAUGAAUGAGAAAUAAAAGAGAGAAAAAUAAGAGAUUGAGAGAAAAGAAUAAAAGGAAGUGUGGUUAAAAGCACAUACAACUCCUUAAAUAAUAGUUGAAACCAAGAUGAUAAAAGGAUGUUUUUCAAUCUUUGAACUUUUCUCGUUUUAUCAUUAAACCAUCUUUUAUAAUUCCAUCCUUUAUUCUUGAAAAGUUUUCAACUUCAUUUCCACUUCCCAUUAUUUUAAACUCCUAAAUAUUUUCAAAAUCAAACUUUAAGUUAUUAUUUCCUCCUA
rnacentral:lncRNA from 1 species